rnacentral:rRNA from 1 species
AUGGCCAACCCUCUUCAUCCAUUUCUCCACUCAUGUCUCCGGUAUAUAGCCUUAAACCUCAAUUUGCUGAUUGAUGCUUUCACAUGCCCAUACACACUUCAGAUUGUUAGAGAAAUUUUGUUCGCCCCCAUGAGAAAUUCCCAAGUGAUAUGGACUGCCAGCACAAGGUCGACGCCUGCUCCAAAGAAGGACGGCCACCGGCUGCCACCAAUUUUUUUACCAAACCCUUGCCCGAAGGAAAAGGGAGCAGGCGAAGAUCGCCUCCCCUUCUCCACGAACACAAUGGAGGACGUGAAUCGACACGGGGACUCCCAAAUUACAGCCAACUGA